CCCCACCCAUUCGUUCCAGCAGUUACAGAACAGGCGCGCCGGCGGCUUCCUCCUCUCCCCCUCUCAAUCCCCUCUCCCAAAUCCUUCAGAUCCGACGAUUUGGUCCGUGCAUUUCUUCACCAAUCCAUCCUAGAAGGAUGGUUUGGCUUCUCGAUGAUCACUGGGACAAACAACACCGGUCGUACGCUAUGGCGGUGGAGCAGCGGGAGCUUGCACCUUUGAAGCUUCGUUCUCACGGGGUCACCCUUGGGUGGAUGCUCUAUGAUGAGCGAUACACACCGUAUGUAAGGGAGACAGGACUUCUCCCUUUCAUUCAUAUGGUCAGACGGUCGAC